rnacentral:rRNA from 1 species
UACGUAGGGUGCGAGCGUUGUCCGGAAUUAUUGGGCGUAAAGAGCUCGUAGGCGGUCUGUCGCGUCGAUCGUGAAAACUUGGGGCUUAACCCUGAGCUUGCGGUCGAUACGGGCAUGACUGGAGUUCGGCAGGGGAGACUGGAAUUCCUGGUGUAGCGGUGAAAUGCGCAGGUAUCAGGAGGAAUACCGAUGGCGAAGGCAGGUCUCUGGGCUGACACUGACGCUCAUGCACGAAAGCGUGGGGAGCAAACAGG